GGUUUUUUUCCGUUUUGCGAAGGAUGAUGUUACUUGUAAGAAAUGGAUAAAGGCUGUCAAUUCCAGGAGAGUAAUCGAUGGGAGACUGGUUGAUUUCAAACCGAGUAAGGCAUCUAGAUUGUGCUUGAAACAUUUUGACGACAGUUGUUUUUUUUUCAUCCUCCAAGUGUUAUGGCUAGUGUUGGAAUGGAGCUCAAAGCUGGUGCAAUUCCAACGAUAUUUCCGGAAACAGAGGCAUGCAAAGCUUCAAAGAAAGCUCCUCUAAAUCCCAACGACCUUGGACCAGGGAAGCACAACCGAGCGAAGUAUGGCGCCUAUUCUGAAAGGAACCGGACCCAUAUUCAUCAUGUGUGGAAGAGCCAGAUGUCUGUGAAGAAAUGUCUUGUGAACAGUCGCCUGUUCGGAUCAGUUAUCCUGAAUCACAUUUUGAUAAUGUGUAUUCGCAGUCAUCACAGACAUCUGAGACGGUUGUAUUUCGGCCAACAGAACAUAAGGAAUUCACUGUCAAACCACAGGGAAAGAACUCUCCUAUCCUAAGUACAAGGCUGGACACCAUGUGGUUAAAGCAGUUAAAGAGAAUUGCACUUAUGACUAUGUUGAUGAACUAAUGGCAGAGCUGCUUAGGAUGAAAGAGGAGUACAAGAGCGAUGCCAAUGCAAGGGCUGCCUCUGGCAACAUUCUGUUUUCACCGCCACCCGUCUUCAUCUGCAAACAGAAUCCUGAAGUCAGAGGCUGUGCAGAACCAUCGUUCGCGAUUUAAUUAGCGAACAGGGAUGGAAAUGAGUGGUUGCCCGUUUUGUUGUAUAGUUAUCUAUUACUUUUAAAGAAAGUAUUGGUUACACAUGACACUACAUGUACAUAGUACUGGGCGCGUUGAGGCUUACGAUGGGAAACCAAAAAACUAUAGAUGGUUGUCCAUGUGGGCAACCAACUGUAAAACGUUAGUUUCCAUCCCUGGCGAAGCAAAAUCAAAUGUAUGAGUCGGACGGAAAUUUCUGGCUGCCACAGCGCAUGACGGAAGAGGUCGUCGAUCCUUCUUGCUCUGACGGUGCCAAAUCCAACGAGCCAGUCUUCUAUAUGCAAUGUAUCUGUAUACUCUGAAGUUAUAAAUGUAUAAGGAUACCAUUAUGA